rnacentral:rRNA from 1 species
UACAGAGGGGGCAAGCGUUGUUCGGAAUUACUGGGCGUAAAGGGCGCGUAGGCGGCCUGUUAAGUCGAACGUGAAAUCCCUGGGCUCAACCCGGGAACUGCGUCCGAUACUGGCAGGCUUGAAUCCGGGAGAGGGAUGUGGAAUUCCAGGUGUAGCGGUGAAAUGCGUAGAUAUCUGGAGGAACACCGGUGGCGAAGGCGGCGUUCUGGACUGUAUCUGACACUGAGGAACGAAAGCCAGGGGAGCAAACGGG